GUAGGUGGCAAGCGUUGUCCGGAAUUAUUGGGCGUAAAGCGCGCGCAGGUGGUUCUUUAAGUCUGAUGUGAAAGCCCCCGGCUCAACCGGGGAGGGUCAUUGGAAACUGGGGAACUUGAGUGCAGGAGAGGAAAGUGGAAUUCCACGUGUAGCGGUGAAAUGCGUAGAUAUGUGGAGGAACACCAGUGGCGAAGGCGACUUUCUGGUCUGUAACUGACACUGAGGCGCGAAAGCGUGGGGAGCAAACAGGGAUUAGAUACCCUGGUAGUCCACGCCGUAAACGAUGAGUGCUAAGUGUUGGGGGGGUUUCCCGCCCCUCAGUGCUGCAGCUAACGCAUUAAGCACUCCGCCUGGGGAGUACGGUCGCAAGACUG
rnacentral:rRNA from 1 species